CCUACGGGAGACAGCAGUGGGGGAUAUUGGACAAUGGGGGGAACCCUGAUCCAGCGACGCCGCGUGAGUGAAGAAGUAUUUCGGUAUGUAAAGCUCUGUCAGCAGGGAAGAAAGCAAUGACGGUACCUGACCAAGAAGCUCCGGCUAACUACGUGCCAGCAGCCGCGGUAAUACGUAGGGGGCAAGCGUUAUCCGGAAUUACUGGGUGUAAAGGGAGCGUAGACGGCUGUGCAAGUCUGGAGUGAAAGGCGGGGGCCCAACCCCCGGACUGCUCUGGAAACUGGAUGGCUGGAGUGCAGGGGAGGUAAGCGGAAUUCCUAGUGUAGCGGUGAAAUGCGUAGAUAUUAGGAGGAACACCAGUGGCGAAGGCGGCUUACUGGACUGUAACUGACGUUGAGGCUCGAAAGCGUGGGGAGCAAACAGGAUUAGAUACCCUGGUAGUC
rnacentral:rRNA from 1 species